UAUCUAGGGAGCUGUGGGGCUGAGUGGGCGCAAGGAUGGUGAGGGCCCGGCGGGGGCGCAGCGGACGGCGCAGGGGGCGCUCCAGACGCCGAUACAGAGUGCCCCCCAGCCGCAGGAUCAGGAGGAAUCGUAGAUAUAACAACACGCCACUGUCCAGGAGAAAAGGGUAUCAACGUGUCUGUGUCACCUACUACUACUGGAAAAGGAGAUGAACGCUGCUGACUGCCUUUCUACCACCAUGCUCCGCUGGGAAAAACCAAGCCAGUCCUCACACCAUCAUAAGAACAGGACCCAUCGCAACACCAAGAUCAGCAUCAUCUGCAGCUCCUCACCUGUCCACUCAGCCUCAACAAAGACCACCUCCCAAUAAACUCCCUAAGAUGCAGAUAAAA